CGGCAAGUGCGGCUGCUACACAUGCAGUCGAACGAUGAAGCCUUUCGGGGUGGAUUAGUGGCGAACGGGUGAGUAACACGUGGGCAAUCUGCCCUUCACUCUGGGACAAGCCCUGGAAACGGGGUCUAAUACCGGAUAACACUCUGUCCCGCAUGGGACGGGGUUAAAAGCUCCGGCGGUGAAGGAUGAGCCCGCGGCCUAUCAGCUUGUUGGUGGGGUAAUGGCCUACCAAGGCGACGACGGGUAGCCGGCCUGAGAGGGCGACCGGCCACACUGGGACUGAGACACGGCCCAGACUCCUCGGGGGGGCAGCUGAACG
rnacentral:rRNA from 1 species